CAAUUCUCCAUAAUUCUGCUGUGGAUUACCCAGAAUCGCAUACCUUUAUCACUGAGUGUGUUAGACAAUGUAAACACAGUAAUCCACCGGGAGGUGGCAUAAUGUUCAUUUUAUGUUGGAAUUUAACAAUUUAAUCAUACUGUUACAAGAGCAACUGUUGACAAUUUGCAGAGCCUCGCUGUACAGUGGAAAAACUGGAAAGGUUCAGGAUUGGAAGAAUACAUGAUCAGGACAGUGGAGGAUGACCUGGUGGAAAUGAAGAAUAAAUGCUGCUCAUGCUGCAAAGAAUUUCCACUGUGUUAGCAGAUGCUGAGACGGUACAACCUGCUGACUGAUGCAUACCAUAUACUUGGCCUUGGAUACCAGUUCCUACUCACCCUCUCAGUUACCCAGGUAGUUCCUACUCACCCUCUGUUACCCAGGUAGCUUGUGAGUGAAGUUUCUCUACCUUAAAGUAUAUCAAGAGCACUCUCUCACAAGAACACCUAGAGGCCUUCAUGCUGAUGGCCACCGGGAAGGACAUCCUAAUGGCCCUGGAUACUGACAUGGUGAUCCAUAGAGUUGCAGAGAAAAGCCAGCUGUUGUGACAUAUUUUCUAUAACUUGCUUACUUACCAUUAUUUAAGUCCUACAUUUCUAAUGUCUCUUCUUCCUGUCUGUGAUUUUGCUGUCCAAUACUUUGACAGAGUAAAGCCAGCCAGCUGACCUUGAGCAGCAGUUAGACAGUUCUAUGUUUCA
ensembl:lncRNA